rnacentral:rRNA from 1 species
GUCCGAAAGGAUUGCUAAUACCGCAUAAGUCGAGCCGGCCCCCGGGCCCGGGUUCGGGAAAGGGGGGCGGCCCCGCCAAGGGGCUCCCACCAGAGGAUGAGUCCGCGGCCCAUCAGCUAGUUGGCGGGGUAAAGGCCCACCAAGGCUUAGACGGGUAGCUGGUCUGAGAGGAUGAUCAGCCACACUGGGACUGAGACACGGCCCAG